rnacentral:rRNA from 1 species
AUUGAACGCUGGCGGCAUGCUUUACACAUGCAAGUCGAACGGUAACAGGGAGCUUGCUCCGCUGACGAGUGGCGAACGGGUGAGUAAUAUAUCGGAACGUACCCAAGAGUGGGGGAUAACGUAGCGAAAGUUACGCUAAUACCGCAUACGAUCCAAGGAUGAAAGUGGGGGACCGCAAGGCAUCAUGCUCCUGGAGCGGCCGAUAUCGGAUUAGCUAGUUGGUGAGGUAAAGGCUCACCAAGGCAACGAUCAGUAGCUGGUCUGAGAGGACGACCAGCCACACUGGGACUGAGACACGGCCCAGAGUCCUACGGGAGGCAGCAGUGGGUAAUUUUGGACAAUGGGGGCAACCCUGAUCCAGCAAUGCCGCGUGAGUGAAGAAGGCCUUCGGGUUGUAAAGCUCUUUUGUCAGGGAAGAAACGGGAGUGGCUAAUAUCCAUUUCUAAUGACGGUACCUGAAGAAUAAGCACCGGCUAACUACGUGCCAGCCGCCGCAGUAAGAC